ACAACUCUUAACCGGGGGAUCACUCGGCUCGUGGGU
rnacentral:rRNA from 1 species